UACGAAGGGGGCUAGCGUUGUCCGGAAUUAUGGGGCGUAAAGAGCUCGUAGGCGGUUUGUUGCGUCGGCUGUGAAAUCCCGAGGCUCAACCUCGGGUCUGCAGUCGAUACGAGCAAACUAGAGUGUUGCAGGGGAGACUGGAAUUCCUGGUGUAGCGGUGAAAUGCGCAGAUAUCAGGAGGAACACCGGUGGCGAAGGCGGGUCUCUGGGCCGAUACUGACGCUGAGGAGCGAAAGCGUGGGGAGCGAACAGG
rnacentral:rRNA from 1 species